AUUGUGCCCAUGACAAAUAGUGUCACUUUUAAGCAGCAGUAUGCUUGCAUUCUAAGUUUGUAACAUACACCUUAUCUGUAAUGGCAGGAAUAUGGAGACUGCAAAUGUGAUUCUUCAGACAUUUUGCCUCAGAAUACCUUGAUCCUGCAUCACUCCUUUAUCUAAUGGGCUUAAAGAAAGACUACGGGUAUCCUUUUAGUGGUGGUUUGCACCACCACCAUCUAUUCAAAGCAUCGUGAUGUUCCAACAAUGAUGGAUAGAUUAAAAGCCAGAAGUCU